rnacentral:rRNA from 1 species
UACGAAGGGGGCUAGCGUUGCUCGGAAUCACUGGGCGUAAAGGGCGCGUAGGCGGCCGUUCAAGUCGGGGGUGAAAGCCUGUGGCUCAACCACAGAAUGGCCCUCGAUACUGGAUGGCUCGAGACCGGAAGAGGUUGGUGGAACUGCGAGUGUAGAGGCGAAAUUCGUAGAUAUUCGCAAGAACACCAGUGGCGAAGGCGGCCAACUGGUCCGGUUCUGACGCUGAGGCGCGAAAGCGUGGGGAGCAAACAGG